UCUCCAGCCAGGAUUCUCCACCUUCCACGGGUGGGCGGGCUCACUUCCUCCGCAGAUACCUUCUCUCGCGAGAUCAGCGUUCACGGUGCGCCUGCGCAGAGAACGCCACUACCCUCGACUCCCAGAAAGCACCGCGCGUGGACGCUGGAGGCGUGGGUAGAGUCCUCGGCCCUCGGCGUUUUCGCUCCUGGGAGUUUAACGCUGACUGAGUUGUAAGCGCGGGCUCAGGCGCGCGAGCGCAGGAAGUUGACCGGAAGGCCCUCGUCUCCGGGAGCCCUGGGUGAGACCGCGGAUAUCCGCAGGGUAGCUGAGUCAGGAAGAAGGAAAUCCAGAGAUGGUGUGAACACACUUGGAGUUUGAGAAUUGGCUGGUAUCCUCUGCUGAUUUUGAAGAACUGUAAACUCCUGCAGCUGCGUCAGGUACUGGAGACUGAACCCAGGGUCUGGUGCAUUCUGAGCAUGCACUGCACCGCUGGCAUGUAGCCUCCCCCCAGUGUCGGAUGUAAAAAUCAUCACCGAGACCUGUCAAGGAGCUUACCGCCGAGGACACUCUCACUGCAAUCACAGUUGAAAUGAGGAUUACUUCCCAACAAAGAGAUGAGGUCAUAGAAUCCCCAGCCUUCAUCUCAAGGUUCAGAUGCCCUUUGCCACACCUGUGCAGGUGCCACCCAGGCACCCACUGUCCUGACAGCAAAUGCCAACCUGGACUUACAUCUUCAAAGUCCAUUGUUGUCCAACUGGAGCUAGGAGAAGAACCCUGGGUACAUGACUCCAGGCACAGCAAGAGAGGCUCAGAGUGGCAGAUAUGAGAUCGUGGUUAGGUUCAUGUCCUGGGCACAGGUCCUGAUAGGCCAGUGACUGUGUGCUUCCUAUCUAUCAUUCCGUAGGUUUCUACUCCAACUUCCAACCCUGGCUUAUCCCUCACACCCCCCUGAUUGGUCCAUUCCUCACUCUACAGUAUUGGCCUACACUUCAUGUCCUUAAAUACCAACUUCUCUCAGUGACAGUCGGAGUUUCCUGGGCCUGGACAUACCCUUCCACACAGCACACACGGCCCUGUUGCAAACCAUUCCUGGAGGAGUGAGUUGUGGACCUCUGGCUCCUCCCUGUGCCACACAGAGUAGAGGACAAGGAGACGGGCCACAAGUAAAUUCUUCGAAGACAGACCUGUCCACCCAGAAGGCCCAUCCCUGGGAACAAUCGCUGGCAGAAAUGAAUGACUCCCUUCUGCAUUUCUGUACCCUCUCCCUUCUCUUUUUAUUAAUAAAAGAUGUGUUGAAACUUUACUUUCUUCAGUGACUUUGCUGGGUGGAAUAAAUGUGCGGUCCUCAUUAUUAACAUUCUCCAUUAGUUUAAGUCUAGACAGUUA